AUUGAACGCUGGCGGCAGGCCUAACACAUGCAAGUCGAGCGGCAGCGGGAAAGUAGCUUGCUACUUUUGCCGGCGAGCGGCGGACGGGUGAGUAAUGCCUGGGAAAUUGCCCAGUCGAGGGGGAUAACAGUUGGAAACGACUGCUAAUACCGCAUACGCCCUACGGGGGAAAGCAGGGGACCUUCGGGCCUUGCGCGAUUGGAUAUGCCCAGGUGGGAUUAGCUUGUUGGUGAGGUAAUGGCUCACCAAGGCGACGAUCCCUAGCUGGUCUGAGAGGAUGAUCAGCCACACUGGAACUGAGACACGGUCCAGACUCCUACGGGAGGCAGCAGUGGGGAAUAUUGCACAAUGGGGGAAACCCUGAUGCAGCCAUGCCGCGUGUGUGAAGAAAGGCCUUCGGUUGUAAGCACUUCUAGCGAGGAGGAAAGGUUA
rnacentral:rRNA from 1 species